rnacentral:rRNA from 1 species
UACGUAGGGUGCAAGCGUUAUCCGGAUUCAUUGGGUUUAAAGGGAGCGUAGGCGGACUUGUAAGUCAGUGGUGAAAUCUGUGGGCUUAACCCACAAACUGCCAUUGAUACUGCAGGUCUAGAGUACAGUUGCCGUUGGCGGAAUAUGACAUGUAGUGGUGAAAUACUUAGAUAUGUCAUAGAACACCGAUUGCGAAGGCAGCUAACGAAGCUGUAACUGACGCUGAGGCUCGAAAGUGCGGGGAUCAAACAGGAUUAGAAACCCCAGUAGU